rnacentral:rRNA from 1 species
CCUACGGGAGGCAGCAGUGAGGAAUAUUGGUCAAUGGGCGGGAGCCUGAACCAGCCAAGUCGCGUGAGGGAAGACGGUCCUAUGGAUUGUAAACCUCUUUAGGCGGGGAGCAAUGCCGGGCACGCGUGCCCGGAGGGAGAGUACCCGCAGAAUAAGCAUCGGCUAACUCCGUGCCAGCAGCCGCGGUAAUACGGGGGAUGCGUGCGUUAUCCGGUUUUAUUGGGUUAAAGGGUUGCGGGGGCGGAUUUUUUAGUCCUCGGUAAAAGGUCGGGGUUCAACCCGGGCCUGCCGUUGAAACUGGGGAUCUUGAGUGGGCGAGAAGUAUGCGGAAUGCGUGGUGUAGCGGUGAAAUGCAUAGAUAUCACGAAGAACUCCGAUUGCGAAGGCAGCAUACCGGCGCCCGACUGACGCUGAGGCACGAAAGCGUGGGGAUCGAACAGGAUUAGAUACCCGAGUAGUC